CAGGGAGAGGAACCACCCUCGGCAGUAGUCGUGACACAAGUAAUAUACUCGGAAGUGGUGGAGGGUGUGCAUGCUUCUUGAGUCAGACUAGAAGUCCACUCCGAAAACUUCUUUUCCACCCGGCAGUGAUUUGGAGCAACCUCUGGAAUAAGUUAAAUAGCCCUGGGGGGUACGAACAAAGAAUCCAAUUUGGGAAAGUCGUAUUCCUUGUUGUAAUGCUGGGUGUGAAGCCAGGCCCAGGAAGCAAGAUGUUAAUCUUAUCAGCUAAACCGAAACAGAGGACCAUGGCUGAAGAAAUUAGGGGAACUGCCUGACCUGUCUGUCCUGUACAAGGACUUUCACAUUGAAACGGCACCAUUGAUCACCA
rnacentral:lncRNA from 1 species